rnacentral:rRNA from 1 species
AUGCGAGCGCUCCAAUCGAAUCCCGCCGCACCGUCCGUCCCGCUCGCCGUGGCCGAUGACCGCGUCCCUCCCCAAACGGCGGCGAUGAUGGAGGGAGCCGCCGGAUCCGGCCAGGCUCCCGAGCGGCCGACGCGCCGGGUCGCCGAUCCUCGGGGCCAGCCCCUCCCGCCGCGCCGUCACGCAUCGGCUUGGGGACCCCCCUCGGGGAUGCCGCCUGCGCGGGAGGCGUCCGCGGCGGCGCGGGCUGGGGAGCCAGCGGCGGGGCCCGUGGUGCGCUCCGGUCGGGCCGGCGCGGGAUCUGAGCCGCCGUCGAUGGAUUGCUUUGGAUUCGGCGAGCUCUCGUUGCCGGAUCGCUGA